rnacentral:lncRNA from 1 species
AUCGACGUAAUUUUAGAGAGAUAAGAAUUAGAGAAGAAGAGUAGAGAUUAGACCUACCGGACAUGAGAAUAGGAGAGAGGGAGCAAUGAAAAGGGAGAGUAAAGGUAGCAUUGGAGAGGGAAAGAUAGAGCUCCAUGCAAGAAAAGGAGUAAAGAUAGAGAGAGGUAUGGCAUGAUAGAGCGAUAACGAAAGAAUGAUGGCAAGAAAGAAAGUUAGCAUAAGGG